CCUACGGGGGGCAGCAGUUUCGAAUCCUUCACAAUGGGCGAAAGCCUGAUGGUGCGACGCCGCGUGAGGGAUGAAGGUCUUCGGAUUGUAAACCUCUGUCACUGGGGAGAAAACGCUUUGAGUUAAUAGUUCAAAGCCUGAUUUAACCCGGAGAGGAAGCAGUGGCUAACUCUGUGCCAGCAGCCGCGGUAAUACAGAGACUGCAACACUUAUUCGGAUUCACUGGCAGGCGGUUGGGCGCAUCAGGUUUGAAAUCCCGAGGCUUAACCUCGGAACUGCGUCUGAAACUACUCGACUAGAGUACUGGAGAGGGAAACGGAAUUCACGGUGUAGCAGUGAAAUGCGUAGAUAUCGUGAGGAACACCAGAGGCGAAGGCGGUUUCCUGGACAGUUACUGACGCUCAGGCACGAAAGCAUGGGGAGCAAAAGGGAUUAGAUACCCGGGUAGUC
rnacentral:rRNA from 1 species